UCUCCGUUGGUGAACCAGCGGAGGGAUCAUUACCGAAGUUACCCUUCAAAACCCUUUGUGAACAUUACCUCUUGCCGCGUUGCCUCGGCGGGAAGCGGUGGGACGUCGCGCUCGCGCCCCUGACCGGGCCGUGCCGCGCCGGCCCCGCCGUCCCCGCCGGCAGCGCCAAAACUCUAUUUGCACAGCGGACUGUAUGUUCUGAUUUAUAAAAAAAACAAGUUAAAACUUUCAACAACGGAUCUCUUGGUUCUG
rnacentral:misc_RNA from 1 species